UACGGGGGGGGCAAGCGUUGUUCGGAAUUACUGGGCGUAAAGGGCUCGUAGGCGGCCAACUAAGUCAGACGUGAAAUCCCUCGGCUUAACCGGGGAACUGCAUCUGAUACUGGAUGGCUUGAGUUCGGGAGAGGGAUGCGGAAUUCCAGGUGUAGCGGUGAAAUGCGUAGAUAUUGGGAGGAACACCAGUGGCGAAGGCGGCUCACUGGACCGGAACUGACGCUGAGGCGCGAAAGCGUGGGGAGCAAACAGG
rnacentral:rRNA from 1 species